rnacentral:ncRNA from 1 species
AAAAAGUUUGAUUUUGGCUUUAUUAUUUAAUUUAUAAUUAUUUUGCAUGUAAAUUUUUGUAUGAUUUUUAUUAUUUUUAAAAAAUUUAAUAAAUAGGUUUUAUUUGCAGCAAUUAAUUUUAAUAAUUAAAUAAUUUUAGAAUUAUUAAUUAUUAUAGUAUAAGCAAAUUUUGUGCCAGCGGCUGCGGUUAUACAAAUUAUACAAUUAAAUAUUUAUUAAUUUAUAAUUUUUAUUUAAUAUAAGAGAUUUUUAAAAUAAUUAAAAAUUAAGUGAAAUUUUUUUUAAUAAUAAAGAUUUAUAAAAUUAUAUUUAAAUUAUUAGCACUAAAUUUUAAACUAGGAUUAGAUACCCUAUUAUUUUAGAAUUAAAAUUAUGAAAUUUUAAGGAUUAAUAGUUAUAUACUUUAAACUUAAAGAAAUUGGCGGUAUUUAAAUCUAAUUAGGGGAAUUUGUUUUUUAAUUGUCAUUACACAAAAAUCUUACUUUAAUUAAUUAGUUUGUUUAUUGUCGUUAUCAAGAUAUUUUAUUAGAAUAAUGAAUUUUUUAAAAUUUUUAUAUAAAAUAUAUUUCAGAUCAUGAUGCAGUUUAUAUUAAAGUUAAAAUUAAUUACAAUAAAAUUUAUUUAUAACGAAUAUGUAAUUGAAAUAUUAUAUUUGAAGGUGGACUUAAUAGUAAAUUUAAUGAUUUUAUUAAAUUGAAUUUAGAGCUAAAUAUGUACAAAUUGCCCGUCACUCUCGUUUUUAAAUGAGAUAAGUCGUAACAAAGUAAGUGUAUUGGAAAAUGUGCUUAGUUAUUU